UGCCCUUUUCUUCUCCACUUUCCUCCUCUUCUAGAACCUUCAUCUCCACUUCUCAAACCCAUUACCCUUUGCCUUAAAUAAAGAAAAAACUCGAAGAUCUCUUCUUCCUCCCUUGAGAAGUGCUUGUCCUUGGGGUUAUUGAGAAACUUGAGGAGGUGAGACUUCAAUCAAAUGAAAAGAGCCGGUAGAGAAGCAACACUGGGGUGUUUUAGCUCGCCAUGUUUUAAGGGUUAGAGUUUCCACGGGCCAACCUAGUUGGGGUGGUGUGGAGUACUCAGAUGAGAUAUCACCCUUUCAAGGGGCUUGUAGAGAGCCUGAAAGGUGUGCAGGGUUGGGUUCCCAAAGUCACAACAAGGUUUCCCAAUGACCAAUGCCAAGAUAUGUGCAUCUUCAUAGCUCCAUAUCUUACCGAGGCCACGGUUAGCGAUGGAGGGUUUUCGAGGCUAUUUCAAUUUCAUACUUGUAUGGAUUCCUUAAUGAUUUAAAGGUGUUAGAUCAGCGUAGCAAUGCAAAUGUGUCGUGUUUGGCAAGGGUCUAUAGUUGGUGCAAUCAUUAGGGUAUUCUAUAUAUGUAUUUUUUUAUUUAUCUUUUUUUUUUUAUCUUUGCCUUGUAUAGGUGGGAUCCAUUAGGGUAUUCAUAUUGACUCAUUUGUAUUUAUUUUCCCCCUUUGGAUACCCCUGUAUACUGGCAUUGUCUAACAUCUGUACAAGAAACUAUACCAAAGAUUUUGUGAUUGUAUUGUGAAUUUAUGCCUGGGCUUGGAAUUCCCUAUGUUUCUGUCUUA